rnacentral:rRNA from 1 species
UACGGGGGGUGCAAGCGUUGUCCGGAUUUACUGGGCGGAAAGGGCGCGUAGGCGGUUGUAUCAGUCGGGCUUAUAAGUGCGGGGCUCAACCCCGUGAUGGGUUCGGGACGGUAUGACUGGGGCGCGGUCGAGGGAGACGGAAUGCCGGGUGUAGUGGUGAAAUGCGUAGAGAUCCGGCGGAACACCGGUGGUGAAGGCGGUCUCCUAGGCCGAGGGCCGACGCUGAGGCGCGAGAGCGUGGGGAGCGAACCGG